AACGCAAAUUGCACUUUCCGGUUUUCCGGGGAGUAUGCCUGUUUGAGGGUCGUUAAAAUAAAUAAUCGAUUUGUUGUUUACCUUUGUAGUAACAUUUCGGAAUUGAGUCGUCUUUGUAUCUUUUGAUCUUAAGAGGCUUAAAAUUGAAUCAUUUUGGUAUGAUUUGAGCGUACUUAAGAUUUCUUUAUUGCGCUUGGUGAAUAUCGAUUUUAUUAGGGAUGACCAUUGAUCAUGGUUUCAUACCUAUAAUCAUCUUCUGAUUUCGACCUCAAAUCAGGUAGGAAUACCCGCUGAACUUAA
rnacentral:misc_RNA from 1 species